AUGAACGCUAGCGACAGGCCUAACACAUGCAAGUCGAGGGGCAGCACAAGGAGCAAUCUGAGGUGGCGACCGGCGCACGGGUGAGUAACACGUAUGCAACCUGCCUGUAAGCGGGGAAUAACCCGUUGAAAGACGGACUAAUACCGCAUAAUACUAAAUUACUGCUAUGGUAACUUAUUUAAACAUUUAUGGCUUACAGAUGGGCAUGCGCAUGAUUAGCUAGUUGGAGAGGUAACGGCUCCCCAAGGCAACGAUCAUUAGGGGUUCUGAGAGGAAGGUCCCCCACACUGGUACUGAGACACGGACCAGACUCCUACGGGAGGCAGCAGUGAGGAAUAUUGGUCAAUGGACGAGAGUCUGAACCAGCCAAGUCGCGUGCAGGAAGAAUGUCCCUAUGGAUUGUAAACUGCUUUUGCAGGGGAAUAAAGUGCAUCACGUGUGAUGUUUUGUAUGUACUCUGCGAAUAAGGAUCGGCUAACUCCGUGCCAGCAGCUGC
rnacentral:rRNA from 1 species